AUGUUCCAUGUUCAGGAACAAACAAACAAACAAACGGAACGAAAACCCCCCGACACGCCCCCAACAGACCGGACGCGGGCGCCCGCCGAUCCUCUGAAGCUUCCGCCUUUUUUUUCCAAUCCGCGCUGUGAUUCUUCCUCCCCUCCCCGCGCCGCCUCCCCUGAUUUCUUUUCUCCCCACCCGCCGGAUUCGGCCCCCUCCCUGCGCUCCUCAGCUGCCAUCCUCCCCCAGCCGAAAUCCGCUGCAGCGGCGGCGGCGGCGGCGCCGAGCCAGGCCAGCUGGUGCUCUGGCGGCGGCCGAUUCGUUUGGUCGGGCGGCGCCGUCUUCUCCGCCAAUCAAGAUCGAUCUGGGCUCUGA
rnacentral:rRNA from 1 species